UACGUAGGGUCCGAGCGUUGUCCGGAUUUAUUGGGCGUAAAGAGCUCGUAGGCGGCUGAUCGCGUCGGUUGUGAAAGCUCAGGGCUCAACCCUGAGACGCCAAUCGAUACGGAUCGGCUAGAGGUAGGUAGGGGAAAGUGGAAUUCCUGGUGUAGCGGUGGAAUGCGCAGAUAUCAGGAGGAACACCGGUGGCGAAGGCGGAUCUCUGGGCCUGUCCUGACGCUGAGGCGCGAAAGCUAGGGGAGCGAACAGG
rnacentral:rRNA from 1 species